rnacentral:rRNA from 1 species
AUUGAACGCUGGCGGCAGGCUUAACACAUGCAAGUCGAGCGGGGUGAUGGUGCUUGCACUAUCACUUAGCGGCGGACGGGUGAGUAAUGCUUAGGAAUCCGCCUAUUAGUGGGGGACAACAUCUCGAAAGGGAUGCUAAUACCGCAUACGUCCUACGGGAGAAAGCAGGGGAUCACUUGUGACCUUGCGCUAAUAGAUGAGCCUAAGUCGGAUUAGCUAGUUGGUGGGGUAAAGGCCUACCAAGGCGACGAUCUGUAGCGGGCCUGAGAGGAUGAUCCGCCACUCUGGGACUGAGACACGGCCCAGACUCCUACGGGAGGCAGCAGUGGGGAAUAUUGGACAAUGGGGGGAACCCUGAUCCAGCCAUGCCGCGUGUGUGAAGAAGGCCUUAUGGUUGUAAAGCACUUUAAGCGAGGAGGAGGCUCUUUUGGUUAAUACCCAAGAUGAGUGGACGUUACUCGCAGAAUAAGCACCGGCUAACUCUGUGCCAGCCGCCGCAGUAA